GGCGAACGGGUGAGUAACACGUGAGUAACCUGCCCUUGACUUUGGGAUAACUUCAGGAAACUGGGCUAAUACCGGAUAGGAGCUCCUGCUGCAUGGUGGGGGUUGGAAAGUUUCGGCGGUUGGGGAUGGACUCGCGGCUUAUCAGCUUGUUGGUGGGGUAGUGGCUUACCAAGGCUUUGACGGGUAGCCGGCCUGAGAGGGUGACCGGCCACAUUGGGACUGAGAUACGGCCCAG
rnacentral:rRNA from 1 species